CUGCUGCUGUGAAUCGGAGCCGUUGGGUUGCAUCUUACCUUAUUAUCCAAACGAAUAUAUACGUACCUAUUCUAUAUGGAAUCAGAUUUCAAAGAAAAAGGAAAUGAAUCUGAGUUUCAAUAGAGAGAUUGUAAAUAUAAAUCUGAGUUCUUGGCUUGAGAGAGAGGGAGGGAGACACGGUUAGGGUCUAAGUAGAGGAUUUAUGAUUGUUUGUUAAAAGAGAUUCCGAGGGUUCCCGUGUUGGGUUUGUAAACGCGGUUGUGGUUAGGGCCGUUGGAUUGUGGUAAUGAGGUUUGAUCGUAGCCGUUGGUUCUGGUAAAACCGGAGGAUAUGCUCAUAUGCAUGUGAUAUUACUUUGGUUUUCUCUCCUCUCUCCAGGAUCCGCCGCCAGCUGCGCAUUUU
rnacentral:misc_RNA from 1 species